CCCUGGAGCCAAAUACCUGUAUGAUGCUAUCGAUAAAAACAACCAAUCUUUGAAAAAGAACAGAUCAUCUCUAUGUAGUCAUCUCUAUUUACUCAAUAUUUGAUUGAACUGCAAAAACUUUUUAUUUGCAUUUUUGCCAGAUGAUAUGUUACACUAUGUAACUUUUGGCCCUCUAGCGGUUAAAAAAGAAAACUGCAUGUGUCUUGCGGAAGAAAACUGUUAUGUUAUGAAGUUGUGCUUCAGCUCUGCUCCUCUGCGCGGAUGAAUGCGGUUCAAGGCACCUGUGUACACAUGGAUACAGGAUAUCUUAUCAGAGCGAAUGGACAAAUAAAUAACGAAAGAAAGGAAAAGACGGAUAUCCGAAAACAUGUCAUCUGAGCAGGGCUUUGCUGAUGCAUAACAGCUUCCCGUUAUUCUUUGGCUCUCAGUUGAACUCGGGUCGGCUCCAGUGGUUCAGACUCGGCUCACGGCCAACAUCCCCAGAAUGCUGCCAGCGAGUGACAUCAAUGAAGACUGGAAGCUCCUCCCACUUCAACGCAACUAAUUUCCACUCCUCCCUCUCUCACUCUCUGUGUGUGUGUGUGUGUGUGUGUGGUAUGUGUGUGUGUGUGUGUGUGUGGUGUGUGUGUGUGUGUGUGUGGCUGCUUCCACUCUAGAAUAAAAAAGUGUUAGUUCUGCAAAAAAAAUGUUUUAAUGUUGUCAUCAUUUACACAACUUCAUGUUGUUCAAACCAUAUAUGAUUGUCUUACUUAGAUGUUUAGCAGAAUGUCCGAGCUGCUCUUUUCCAUACAAUGAAAGCAUACAGUGAUCAAGGCCUGACGAGCUUCUAAAAGGUAAAAAGCACCAAGUCUGUACAACUUGUAUGCUGUAUUCCAAGUCUUCUGAAGCCAUAUGAUUGCUUUGAGUCAUUGUUCACUCUUAAUCUUCCCCUUUGCUGUAGCUCUCAAACUUGCAGCACCAUGAUUGGUCACGUGACACAUGAGAACCAAUGGAGCUCAGCAUCAUUGACGGCAACCUGGCAAGACGCAUCUUAUUUGAUCAUUUCAAUACAAUCAUAUAAGAUAUUUGAGCUAUGCUAGAGGGAACCAAUUUGAGUCAAUAAUGACUUUUGGGACAAUUUGGGUCUGCUCCGUAUGUAUGACUUCAGAAGGGUUGGAAUAUAACGAGUUGUAUAAUACUUUGGUAACGCUUUACAUUAAUGUUUUAUAACCCUUUGUUAAGGGUUUAUAAAAAAGUUCAUUAAUGACCAUUAAGUUAUUUAUGGAAGCUUUAUAAAUAAUUGAUAAGCGGUUAUAACAACAUGCAUAAAAAUGGUGACUUUCAUGCAAUACCUGCCAAACAGUCACUUAGUCAAGAGCCACUUACAUCACAUGAUAAAAUAUGCUUAAUAACACUUAACCUAUUAAAAUAUACUUUAAUGUUAAAUGAAAGAUUUAUUUACAUUUAUAUUUGAAACCUAUGUGCAUAAAGUUCAGUAUGGUUUGAUUGUCAUCAGGCUUUAUUAUAUGAUAUAUGCUGUGAAAGAGCAUGAAGAGCUAAAAAGUGUUUUACUUGCAGGUAACUAGGACUAGGUAAAUUGGGACAGCACUCGGAGUAGCACCAUCUUUUUAAAAUCAACAUGACAAGGAAAGAGACAACACAAUGGAUUACCAGCUUUCUGACGGACAGGCAGCAGCUUGUGAGAAUUCACUUCCAGCACCUGUACAAUCAGCACUGGUGCCCCCCAGGGAUGUGUGCUCACCCCACUACUCUUCUCCCUCUACACCAACGACUGCAUCGCCAAGGACCCCUCUGUCAAGCUCCUGAAGUCUGCAGACGACACCACUGUCAUCGGCCUCAUCCAAGCUGAUGAUAAGUCUGCUCACAUAAGGGAGGUUGAACGGCUGGCUGUCUGGUGCAGUCAAAACAACCUUGAGCUGAACACGCUCAAAACGGUGGAGAUGAUUGUGGACUUUAGGAGGAACCCCCCAACACUGACCCCCCUCAACAUUCUAAACAGCACUGUGGUAGCAGUGGAGUCAUUCAGGUUCCUGGGCACUACCAUCUCACAGGACCUGAAGUGGGAGACACACAUUGACUCCAUUGUGAAAAAGGCCCAGCAGAGGUUGUACUUCCUUCACCAGUUGAGGAAAUUCAACCUGCCACAGGUGCUGCUGAUACAGUUCUAUUCAGCAGUCAUUGAGUCUGUCCUCUGCACUUCAAUAACUGUCUGGUUUGGUUCAGCUACGAAAUCAGACAUCAGAAGACUACAAAGGACAGUUCGGACUGCUGAAAGGAUUAUUGGUUGCCCCCUGCCCCCCUUCAAGAACUAUACACUUCCAGAGUGAGGAAAAAGGCUGGAAAAAUCGCUCUGGACCCCACUCACCCUGCCCACUACCUUUUUGAACUGUUGCCUUCUGGCCGAUGCUUCAGAGCUCUGAGCACCAGAACCGUCAGGCACAGGAACAGUUUUUUCCCCAGGCUAUCCAUCUCAUGAACAGUUAAAUUGCCCCAUUGAGCAAUUAUUAAUGUGCAAUACACAGUUUAGUCUUUCUUAUAUUUAUCCAACAUACCACACCUCUUCUCCCAUUAC